GCCACGGUGGCUCAGUGGUUGAGCGUUGACCUGUGAACCAGGAGGUCAUGGUUCAAUUCCCUGUCAGGGCA
rnacentral:tRNA from 1 species